GAUGAACGCUGGCGGCGUGCCUAAUACAUGCAAGUCGAGCGAACAGACGAGGAGCUUGCUCCUCUGACGUUAGCGGCGGACGGGUGAGUAACACGUGGAUAACCUACCUAUAAGACUGGGAUAACUUCGGGAAACCGGAGCUAAUACCGGAUAAUAUAUUGAACCGCAUGGUUCAAUAGUUAAAGACGGUUUUGCUGUCACUUAUAGAUGGAUCCGCGCCGCAUUAGCUAGUUGGUAAGGUAACGGCUUACCAAGGCAACGAUGCGUAGCCGACCUGAGAGGGUGAUCGGCCACACUGGAACUGAGACACGGUCCAGACUCCUACGGGAGGCAGCAGUAGGGAAUCUUCCGCAAAGGGCGAAAGCCUGACGGAGCAACGCCGCGUGAGUGAUGAAGGUCUUCGGAUCGUAAAACUCUGUUAUUAGUGAAGAACAAAUGUGUAAGUAACUAUGCACGUCUUGACGGUACCUAAUCAGAAAGCCACGGCUAACUACGUG
rnacentral:rRNA from 1 species